rnacentral:lncRNA from 1 species
CUUUAGUCAAUAAAUUAGGAAACCACAAAAACAUACCAUAGUUCAUUCUAAAAAAUAUUAUCAAAAGCGAAAACGCUGAGUCGAAUAUAUUUCAUAUCUUCCGGAUCCUCCCAUCGUGGGCGAAAUCCCAUGACUUCCCUUCAUUUUAACUACUCUAAAUUUAUAAAUGACAUGUAGCUAUUUCGUAAUGCUUUUUUGCUAUAUAUACAUCCCAGUCUGUUCAUGAACAUCAACAGCAGAAUUGAGUAGGUACGUGUGAGUAUAGCAUCAGCUUGCUGCCAAGAACAAUAGUUGAACUUUAACAGCGUUGAAGCAACAUUGACCAGAAGAAUGAUAAUUUGGAUUUUUAUCAUUUUUCUUUAUUCGCCGUGUGUUCUUGGAGAAAAGGAGCUGUGGUGUAUUGACAAUAAUGGUGUCUCAACAGGUAACUGAAAGUCUGAAACCAACAUUUUUGUAAAUAAGCGUUUUAUUUAAUUUACUUUUAUGAUAAUUUCUGUGGCUAAGUCGUUUUAUCGUUUUCACUUUCUAGCUUCGCAUACGGCGAUUCUAGAGUACAUAAUUGAAAGACUGCAUGUCCUAUACAAGACAAGUGUUAAACUGUAACGAAACUACUAGAGCACUUACAUGUCGUUUCCACGGGACCAUCAUCUAAUAUCGCACUUUUUAUUGAGCAAUUUUAUUUUACUGCCAUGUACCUUAACUAAAGAACAAAAAUCCCAGAUAUUUUCGUAAAUAUACAUAGAAAUAAUAGUUUUAAGGUUGAUUUUGUUUUCUGUGAUAAUUAUAUGAGAAGACUUUCUGACAUCCUUGUGUAGAUAAGUAGGAUAAGAGUAUGACUAGAAUUUUAGGAAAAGGAGGAAUAAGGUAGGAAAAUGUGUAGAAAAGUAGGACAAAAGUAGGAGUUUUUGGAGAUCCAAAGCAUCCAAAUAACACAAAAAUAUACAAAAUUGGCACCCUAGGAUAUAUGUGGUACCAUAUGUGGAUAUAUGUGAUACCACCAUUGGUUAUCUGAUGGGGCCGGGAAGUUGUGUGAAUUUUUGGUGCUCAAUAAUUUUUUGAACCCAAUCAUCUAGCAGGAUUUCUUUCUCAAAAAUUUUAAAUUUAGAUAUUAAUAUGGACAAUGAAUGUUGGCAUCGGUAUAAAAGCUAAGGCAUCAAAUUGAGUGCGAGUGCAUGUAUUUGGCUGCGCCAUACACCUUAAUCCGCACUGUGCGGCAGGAGCCUAUGAUGCUUGAUUAAC